rnacentral:rRNA from 1 species
ACGAACGCUGGCGGCGUGCUUAACACAUGCAAGUCGAACGGAAAGGCCCUGCUUUUGUGGGGUGCUCGAGUGGCGAACGGGUGAGUAACACGUGAGUAACCUGCCCUUGACUUUGGGAUAACUUCAGGAAACUGGGGCUAAUACCGGAUAGGAGCUCCUGCUGCAUGGUGGGGGUUGGAAAGUUUCGGCGGUUGGGGAUGGACUCGCGGCUUAUCAGCUUGUUGGUGGGGUAGUGGCUUACCAAGGCUUUGACGGGUAGCCGGCCUGAGAGGGUGACCGGCCACAUUGGGACUGAGAUACGGCCCAGACUCCUACGGGAGGCAGCAGUGGGGAAUAUUGCACAAUGGGCGGAAGCCUGAUGCAGCAACGCCGCGUGCGGGAUGACGGCCUUCGGGUUGUAAACCGCUUUCGCCUGUGACGAAGCGUGAGUGACGGUAAUGGGUAAAGAAGCACCGGCUGACUACGUG